rnacentral:lncRNA from 10 species
GCCCCUUCAACCAGAUCACUUCCGCUGAAAGUUUGCAUCUCCCAGUAUCAGUGUUGGGGAAGCCAAAUGAAAUCUAUCAAUCCCAGUUCAGAAUGUAAAGAAACUGAAGAUCCUCUUUCCCCAUAUGGAUUAUUAUAUCAUCAUAGCAUUUGGAGAAGCCAAGAUCAACAAAAAAGCAGUUAGCAGAAUUGUACAUGGCGAUCAUCAGCAGUAUGAAGAGGAGCUGUGGGGCCAGUGAGAGAAGCUGCAGCCUGUUGAGACUCCACAAGACUGAAGAUAUGAAAAGAGGAAAUAUGCAUGAAUGCCCGCACGGAGAACCACCCCCACCUGCUGCUCCCGCUCUAAUGAUCACGCCCAUUAUCAACUGGGGGAUGGCUCUGUGCCUUGUCCUUGCAUUACAUGGACCAAGAACACUUCACAGGACUCAGAGAGGCAAAAAUAGAUACAAAAGAAGAAGGAAUUACAGAAGAAGUCACAUAACAUUAUUGCCUACAACUGACUGUUUACCUUGAAUACUUGAAGACCAGAAUGAAGAUUCUUGGGGUGAAGAAUUACAGCCUUAGCAUGGAGCAGGCCUCGGUGCAUCGGCUUUCAGCUAGGCAUGCCUGCCAAUGUUCAACGUCCUCCUGGGAUACGGAAGGCACCGUGAUAGACAUCUGGGCAAGUCAACAGGAAGGUGGAUAUCCAAAUCUCUCUCUUCGCAAUGAGUUUCCAGUUAGAUGGAGGAGAGAGUAAUAAAACACAGAGCUGAGAUUCCUGACUUCACAGAUCCCUGAGGAGAUGUUUACUAAAGGGAAUCUUCUGGUCACUGUUACCUUCCUCCGUACUUACCUGCCUCAUGGAUAACACUGAAGAAUGCAGUUUACUUACAUCUUUUUCUGUUUGACAGAAGACAGUUAUUAGUUACCCUUGGGACAUCAAAAUGACCAAGGCAGUGUCUGCUAAGUAUUUGCUGAGACUCUGCUAUGAUUCUUUCAAGUCUAAAGACAGUUAUCUGAAUGAUAUCCCCGUGACAGUGGACUCCUGCACAUUCACAGUCCUGGAAGGAGCCUGUCCACAUUGGCAUUCUGGAAGUCCAUAAAAGACAAACGCAUAUGCAGUCCCCGAGAAAGCAUUGUUGUAAACAAAUCUGCACUAGAUGGAAACUCUGUUAUGUGGUGCCGGCAUGCAUGGAAGAGAACCCGAAAGGAAGAAGCUAUACGACUGGGGACACAUGUCUUAGAAGCACACUCAUUAGAUAAAGUGUCGCAUACUCUUUGAUAAGGUAAGGCUCCCUGGACGAGAUGUUUUACAGGUACCAUGAGCUCAGUGAAUUGCUUUUGGAAAGACACUCAGCGGAGUGGGCACCACGAGGUUAGGAGAAGCAGCUUCUGCUCGUCAUAACUUUGGCAAAUGUUUACACAUCAGUAAUGAAAAAUAUUCUCUUGGCGAUUUCAGGCUUGUUACUAUGGAUGUUGUUUGCUAACAUUGACUAUUUUUCCUAACUGCUUAUAGAAACUCCAGGCUGUCACCCAUCUGUUCUCUCAUCAAAGUAGUUUUGGGCCAGCAACUAUUUCAGACAUUUCUACAGUUUCAGAUGUCUCACUCUGCCUAUGACUGUAUGUUGUACUUGAGGACUGGACGCACAGGGUAAAGUGCAAAUAGCAAGCAUUCAGGUCCAACUCUCCUCCUUCUGGUUAACAAUAUGAAAGAAAGAGGUAGUAUCGGAAUUAUUUUAGUUCAAUGUAGCCAU